AUGAACGCUGGCGGCGUGCUUAACACAUGCCAGUCGAACGGAAAGGCCCAAGCUUGCUUGGGUACUCGAGUGGCGAACGGGUGAGUAACACGUGGGUGAUCUGCCCCGCACUUCGGGAUAAGCCUGGGAAACUGGGUCUAAUACCGGAUAGGACCACUUCUUGGAGGUUGUGGUGGAAAGUUUUUUCGGUGUGGGAUGAGCUCGCGGCCUAUCAGCUUGUUGGUGGGGUAAUGGCCUACCAAGGCGUCGACGGGUAGCCGGCCUGAGAGGGUGUACGGCCACAUUGGGACUGAGAUACGGCCCAGACUCCUACGGGAGGCAGCAGUGGGGAAUAUUGCACAAUGGGCGCAAGCCUGAUGCAGCGACGCCGCGUGGGGGAUGACGGCCUUCGGGUUGUAAACUCCUUUCGCUAGGGACGAAGCGCAAGUGACGGUACCUAGAGAAGAAGCACCGGCUAACUACGUG
rnacentral:rRNA from 1 species